GGACCCGCACAAGCGGUGGAGCAUGUGGUUUAAUUCGAAGCAACGCGAAGAACCUUACCAGGUCUUGACAUCCCUUGACAACGCUAGAAAUAGCGCGUUCCCUUCGGGGACAAGGUGACAGGUGGUGCAUGGUUGUCGUCAGCUCGUGUCGUGAGAUGUUGGGUUAAGUCCCGCAACGAGUGCAACCCUUAUUAUUAGUUGCCAGCAUUCAGUUGGGCACUCUAGUGAGACUGCCGGUGAUAAACCGGAGGAAGGUGGGG
rnacentral:rRNA from 1 species